ACCUCCCACAAAGGCGUGUCUGUGGCUUCCAUCCAUAGAUACGUAAGAACUGGAGGCAAAGAAAUGAGGGCUGGAAAAGUUCAGGGCUGGCAUACCCUACCCUUGCUAGCCCAGGGACUUCCUGUCCUACAUUA
ensembl:snoRNA small nucleolar RNA, H/ACA box 38